UCUCUGUUAGUAUAUCGGUUAGUACACGCGCCUGUCAAGCUGAAAACCAGCCAUUGAACGCGCGAAAGCUGGGUUCGACUCCCAGACAGAGAG